UACGUAGGUGGCAAGCGUUGUCCGGAAUUAUUGGGCGUAAAGCGCGCGCAGGCGGCCUUUUAAGUCUGAUGUGAAAGCCCACGGCUCAACCGUGGAAGGUCAUUGGAAACUGAAAGGCUUGAGUACAGAAGAGGAAAGCGGAAUUCCACGUGUAGCGGUGGAAAUGCGUAGGGAUGUGGAGGAACACCAGUGGCGAAGGCGGCUUUCUGGUCUGUAACUGACGCUGAGGCGCGAAAGCGUGGGGAGCAAACAGG
rnacentral:rRNA from 1 species